GCUCAGCAACUUCACACACAGCAACCAUGACUUUGAUCAGCGUCUUCAUCUGCACACUGGCUCUCUGGACUCAAGGAUCCAGAGGUCAGGUGACUGUGACUCAGACUCCUUCACAGCAAACUAUUGUUCCAGGAAACACCGUCACCAUCAACUGUAGAUUCAGCACUGCUGUUUGGCAUGACUGUGGACCAACUGGUGUAUCAUAUGACUGUCUAGCCUGGUACCUACAGAAACCUGGAGAAGCUCCUAAACUCCUAGUGCGCUAUGUGAGUCACUUGUUCUCAGGGACUCCAGCUCGUUUCAGUGGCAGUGGAUCUUCUAAGACUGACUUCACUCUGACCAUCAGUGGAGUCCAGACAGAAGAUGCAGGAGAUUACUACUGUCAGAGUUUACAUAAGAUCAGUGGUAGCUAUGUGUUCACACAGUGUUAGAGCGUGGUACAAAAACCUCGGUCAGUGAGAGUGCACAGAGAAGCACUGCUGCAGCUGGGAGCGACUGCAGGUGCUGAGA